UACGUAGGGUGCGAGCGUUGCCCGGAUUUAUUGGGCGUAAAGGGCGCGUAGGCGGCUCGGCACGUCCGUUGUGAAAUCGCCCGGCUCAACUGGGCGGGGUCAGCGGAUACGGUCGAGCUUGAGCAAGCUAGGGGGCAAUGGAAUUCCCGGUGUAGUGGUGAAAUGCGUAGAUAUCGGAAGAACACCAGUGGCGAAGGCGACUUACUGGACACAUAUUGACGCUGAGGUGCGAAAGCGUGGGGAGCAAACAGG
rnacentral:rRNA from 1 species